rnacentral:rRNA from 1 species
UACGGAGGGAGCUAGCGUUGUUCGGAAUUACUGGGCGUAAAGCGCACGUAGGCGGCUUUGUAAGUUAGAGGUGAAAAGCCCGGGGCUCAACCCCGGAAUUGCCUUUAAGACUGCAUCGCUUGAAUCCAGGAGAGGUGAGUGGAAUUCCGAGUGUAGAGGUGAAAUUCGUAGAUAUUCGGAAGAACACCAGUGGCGAAGGCGGCUCACUGGACUGGUAUUGACGCUGAGGUGCGAAAGCGUGGGGAGCAAACGGG